UUUAUCAAAAACAUGUCUCUUUGAUUUUAUUUAAUGAAGAGUUGGGCCUGCUCAAUGAUUAUAUAUUUAAUAGCUGCGGUGUUAUAACUGUACUAAGGUAGCAUAAUAAUUUGCCUUAUAAAUUAGGGCUAGAAUGAAUGGUUUGACGAAAAUUAAACUGUCUCUAUUUUAUUUAUUAGAAAUUAAUUUUUAUAGUGAAAAAGCUUAAAUGAAUUAAAGGGACGAGAAGACCCUAUUGAGCUUAAAAUUAUUAUAUAAAUAAUAAUAAUGCUUGUAUUAAGUAUUAUAGUUUUAUUAAUAUUUAUUAAUAGUUAUUUUGGUUGGGGUGAUCAAGGAUUAAAUUAAAUUUAAUAACUUCCUUAAUUAAAGAGAUUUUUAUAGAUUAAUAAACCAUAUUUUUGCUUAUAAGAUAAGUUACCAUAGGGAUAACAGCGUAAUUUUUUUUAAGAGCUCAUAUUGAAAAAAAAGAUUGCGACCUCGAUGUUGGAUUAAAUAUUACCUUAAGGUGAAGAAGCUUUAUUAGGUGAAUCUGUUCGAUUUUUAAAAAUUUACGUGAUCUGAGUUCAGACCGG
rnacentral:rRNA from 1 species